rnacentral:lncRNA from 10 species
GUAAAAAAAAAAAACCCACAAACUUGCCAUCUACUAUUUCUCCAGGACUUGGCAGUCUGCCCUCAAAAGCUUCAGACAAGAUUCAUGAGUAUAAGCCUGAAAAAGAGAAACCUACAACACCCGGAAAUCGGCCUACGUCCCCAUAUAAAUCCCUUUACACCUCAGUACGAAACUCCCCCAUUAUAUUAGAAAAUAAAUAAAAGGUUACCAUAAGUAAGUUCCAGAAAAACAACAUAUUGCCGACCUCACGGAUUUUUACCAACCACUCGCUUUCCCUGUGGCCUUGGCACACUGGCAUGCUGGUCUAGGAUCCUCUACGCACAACGCCUGCUCGCCUCCUCCGUGUGGUUGCCAAGCCAAGCCGCCUGCUACCUUCAUCACCAAAUUGCACUCGCUCCUUCCUGGAAUCCUUUUUCCUAGCUUCACCACCAAAUCGUUAGCGCUCCUUCCUUCUUCCUAGCUUCCUUCACCAAAUCGCACUGGCUCCUGGACUCUUUUCCUAUCUUCACCACGAACUGCUGCUUGCUCGCUUGCUCCUCAGUCCUAGCUUCAUCAAACACUGGUUCCUGGAAUCCUGUCUGCUGCUGUCUUCCUAGAUUCACUGAAUCCACUUCUGUGUAGCACCUGGGUCAGCUGUCAAUUAAUGCUAGUCCUCAGGAUUUAAAAAAUAAUCUUAACUCAAAGUCCAAUGCAAAAACAUUAAGUUGGUAAUUACUCUUGAUCUUGAAUUACUUCCGUUACGAAAGUCCUUCACAUUUUUCAAACUAAGCUACUAUAUUUAAGGCCUUCCAAAUUCUUCUAACUCUUCCAAAAGCCUUCUGCCUUAGUUUUUUUUAAAUUACACCAGUCCUUUUAGUAGCUUUUUGAUGUGAUUUUUAACCAACUUCCCCUUCUAGCUUCAAGUAUUCUUCUAAAUUGGUUCUGGUCUACGUAAACACCCUCAUCUUCUCAAGCUUUACCUUCUAACUUCUGCACCACCAGAAAUUAAAUUGAUGGGCUUUUAAAAUAAAUUGGUUACCAAUAAUUUCCUCAUUUUUUCAGUGCUAUUUUAUCCAAUUUUUGGCUUUAUAUUUUUCUAUCUUCUAUACUUCUCCAAUACUUGUCUUAGCUUGUUUUUCAUUUUCUAUCUGAAACUCUUGACAAUAUUUUCAUUUUCUAUCUUGUUUCUAUCUUCCAAUUUUCUUCUAAGUUUGUACAUUUUGCCCUUAGCUUUUUGUUUCCUAGCUUGUCUUUUUUCUUCUGCUUCCUACUUUUCAGGUUUAAAUUUAUCUUUUUUCUUCUAAAAGUAUGUUUUUAUCUUCUAAUUUCCCUAUCUUCUCUAUUCUUUUCUUCGCCUUCCCGUACUUCUGUCUUCCAGUUUUCCACUUCAAACUUCUAUCUUCUCCAAUCUUCUAAGUCUUCAUAUUUUCUCUUAAAAUCUUAAGCUAUUAAAAUUACGUUAAAAACUUAACGCUAAGCAAUAUCUUAGUAACCUAUUGACUAUAUUUUUUAAGUAGUUGUAUUAAUCUCUAUCUUUCAAAGAGAAAAAAACUUAUCUGCGGUUUCCUCAAGCUCCGCCUGCCCCCUCAGCAGAAGCCCCUGCGCUGGC